AUACAAUGAGAAAUUCUUUCCAAUGGCUUCUAGAAUGUCCCUGGAAGGUCACCCAAAGGUUGGUGCAAGGACACAGUGGCUGAUUUCCAUUCUGUCAGCAGGAUUUGGGCAAAGUGCAUUCGGAUCCUUCACAUCCACAAUGUAUCCAAAACGAUUCCCAGGAAGUGGCACGUAACGUUGCUGGGAUUCAAUCACAUACCAUCAAAUCCAGGUUGCACAAUUAAAGCCGAUUGGGGGUCUUGCGCAACAAACAUGCUUCACCGAAAGAUAGGAUGUCUUGUAAUAAGGAAAGUGAUGGGAAAAUGCACUGGAAAACGCUUUGAAGCAACAUCAUUUUAACUCCUUGCAAACAAAUCCUCUUUAAAUAGCCAACAUCAUCUACCCUUCCUGCAAACAAAUCAAGAUGGAUGUUCAAUAGACAGGACGUCUGGAAGAAUCAGCUAGAGGAAUCAGGACUAUAGUUGCCUCGUGAGAAAGAAUGAUGGGCAGA